CCCAGCCCUCCUUUCAUCUUGGUCGUAGUGACACACACAUGUAGCCAACACCCAGUGAAGUUGGCUGUCACUAUCUGUUUUGGGUGGAAAGUCUUUGGGACAGAAACUCCUCUGGUCAGUGGCUUGGCUCGGAGUCCCUGGGAGAGCCCUCAGUCAUUGUGAGCCUCUGGCUAAGACCCCUAACAGAGAGCCCCCUGACAUUGUAUUGUAUAGGCUCACACCUCUGAAGGAGCAUACUGGCUCCUUGAGACCCUUUCCUCAAACAGAAAUUAGGAACAGUGCAUGCUGGUUGGAAUGUCCUGACCCAUUCAAUGAGCUGACCAGCCCCGCAAGUGAAGACAUAUAUUUUAGAUUGUGUUAAGCCAGCUUUUGACUGAAGAAUUCUUCCACAGAAUGCCUGUGCUAGGAGUGUCUCAAAGGAUAUGUUUCAGGAAACUUAGAUCUACCCAGUCUCCACCCUGUCUUGAAGACUAGGGUCACACCGUGUACUAGCAUAGACCAUGAACCAGAAUCAGCCUUCUGGUUCCCAGGAUUGCCUACAAGUGUAUCUGGAUAGAAAGCUGAGGGAAGGCUUUUCUCCUGGGGUGCACAUCAUGGCUGGAUAUUCACUGAUUGGCCUACUUGGUAUUUCCAUUCUCCUGGGCACUUGGGAAUUUCAGAAGCAAGCAGGCAAGGGUACCCUGGCUUCUUCCCUCUGUCCCCC
rnacentral:lncRNA from 1 species